GUACUCUAUUAUGAUGUUUGUAAUCUAAAUCCUGCCAUAGUGCUGAUAAUUUCAUAUUUUAACUAAGCGGCAGUUUAUAACUUCAAAAGAUUUAGAGCAAUGGAAGCUGAGCCAGCUUACUCUGUAAGAAAAGAACUUAGAAAGUUUAUAAUAGUAGAAGAACGUCUGACAUUUUUGAGACAGUGCCGAAUUAAUGAAGUAUUUCUGAUGACUAUUUAUAAACUGAAAUUGCCGGUAAGAUCUAAGAAUUUAUUACGUAUUACAAAGAAGCGAUGCUUGUCUGCAGCAAUUACGGACGUUAGGAG
rnacentral:lncRNA from 1 species